AGUGAACGCUGGCGGUAGGCCUAACACAUGCAAGUCGAACGGCAGCACAGUAAGAGCUUGCUCUUACGGGUGGCGAGUGGCGGACGGGUGAGGAAUACAUCGGAAUCUACUUUUUCGUGGGGGAUAACGUAGGGAAACUUACGCUAAUACCGCAUACGACCUACGGGUGAAAGCAGGGGAUCUUCGGACCUUGCGCGAUUGAAUGAGCCGAUGUCGGAUUAGCUAGUUGGCGGGGUAAAGGCCCACCAAGGCGACGAUCCGUAGCUGUUCUGAGAGGAUGAUCAGCCACACUGGAACUGAGACACGGUCCAGACUCCUACGGGAGGCAGCAGUGGGGAAUAUUGGACAAAGGGCGCAAGCCUGAUCCAGCCAUACCGCGUGGGUGAAGAAGGCCUUCGGGUUGUAAAGCCCUUUUGUUGGGAAAGAAAAGCAGCAGGUUAAUACCCCGCUGUUCUGACGGUACCCAAAGAAUAAGCACCGGCUAACUUCGUG
rnacentral:rRNA from 1 species